UGCGUAGGGUGCGAGCGUUGUCCGGAAUUAUUGGGCGUAACGGGCUCGUAGGCGGUUUGUCGCGUCGGGUGUGAAAUCCACUGGCUUAACUGGUGGCUUGCUUUCGAUACGGGCAGACUGGAGGUAUGCAGGGGAGAACGGAAUUCCUGGUGUAGCGGUGAAAUGCGCAGAUAUCAGGAGGAACACCGGUGGCGAAGGCGGUUCUCUGGGCAUGUCCUGACGCUGAGGAGCGAAAGUGUGGGGAGCGAACAGG
rnacentral:rRNA from 1 species